AAGUCGUAACAAGGUUUCCGUAGGUGAACCUGCGGAAGGAUCAUUACCAAAUCCAAAUUAUCUAACCCCUUGUGAACUAUUGUAGUAAGUCUGUCUUUGGGAGGAAAAAAGUUUUUAAAAAGGGCGUUUAUGUCUUUUUCAUUGACAAAUUUUCCUCCCAAAAGAAUCCCGCACACUCUCCUUUGUUGGGAUUGUGUGUUAAAACAGGAUUCGAACUACCUUUUUUUUUAAACCACUUAAUUCAUUGUUGGAAUUUGUUUUUUAUUAAACUUCUAAUAAAAUGACAACUUUUAACGGCGGAUCUCUUGGCUCGUG
rnacentral:misc_RNA from 1 species